rnacentral:misc_RNA from 1 species
ACCCAUUGAAUCUGGGCCAAACUUCAAAUAUUAAUGCAAUAACUCAGCGUAUCCGUACUGGACAAAUGACUCCGGCACAAGCUGCUCUGCUGUCAUCAAGAUUUAUGGUACAGAGCAGAACUGGUAUGCUAGGGGGCCCUCAGUCAGGCAUAGCUGGGAUGUCAGGAGCCAGACAGAUGCACCCAGGUUCUACUGGGCUUUCCAUGCUGGGCCAGCCUUUGAACCGAGCUAAUACAAGUACAAUGCAGCGGAGUGCAAUGGGUCCACCAAAAUUGAUGUCAGGGAUGAACCUCUAUGUCAACCAACAGCAGCAACUGCAGUUACAACAACAACAACAACAACAACAAU